GUGCUCACUUCGCAUCACAUAUCCUAAAAUUGGAAUGAUAUAGAGAAGAUAGCAAGGAUGACAUGCAAAUUCAUGAAGCAUUCCAUAUUUUU
rnacentral:snRNA from 1 species